AGACCCGAAACCCGGUGAUCUAGCCAUGGGCAGGUUGAAGGUUGGGUAACACUAACUGGAGGACCGAACCGACUAAUGUUGAAAAAUUAGCGGAUGACCUGUGGCUGGGGGUGAAAGGCCAAUCAAACCGGGAGAUAGCUGGUUCUCCCCGAAAGCUAUUUAGGUAGCGCCUCGUGAAUUCAUCUCCGGGGGUAGAGCACUGUUUCGGCUAGGGGGCCAUCCCGGCUUACCAACCCGAUGCAAACUGCGAAUACCGGAGAAUGUUAUCACGGGAGACACACGGCGGGUGCUAACGUCCGUCGUGAAGAGGGAAACAACCCAGACCGCCAGCUAAGGUCCCAAAGUCAUGGUUAAGUGGGAAACGAUGUGGGAAGGCCCAGACAGCCAGGAUGUUGGCUUAGAAGCAGCCAUCAUUUAAAGAAAGCGUAAUAGCUCACUGGUCGAGUCGGCCUGCGCGGAAGAUGUAACGGGGCUAAACCAUGCACCGAAGCUGCGGCAGCGACGCUUAUGCGUUGUUGGGUAGGGGAGCGUUCUGUAAGCCUGUGAAGGUGGCCUGUGAGGGUUGCUGGAGGUAUCAGAAGUGCGAAUGCUGACAUAAGUAACGAUAAAGCGGGUGAAAAGCCCGCUCGCCGGAAGACCAAGGGUUCCUGUCCAACGUUAAUCGGGGCAGGGUGAGUCGACCCCUAAGGCGAGGCCGAAAGGCGUAGUCGAUGGGAAACAGGUUAAUAUUCCUGUACUUGGUGUUACUGCGAAGGGGGGACGGAGAAGGCUAUGUUGGCCGGGCGACGGUUGUCCCGGUUUAAGCGUGUAGGUGUGUGUUCCAGGUAAAUCCGGUUCACUUUAACACUGAGGCGUGAUGACGAGGCACUACGGUGCUGAAGCAACAAAUGCCCUGCUUCCAGGAAAAGCCUCUAAGCAUCAGGUAACAUCAAAUCGUACCCCAAACCGACACAGGUGGUCAGGUAGAGAAUACCAAGGCGCUUGAGAGAACUCGGGUGAAGGAACUAGGCAAAAUGGUGCCGUAACUU
rnacentral:rRNA from 1 species